rnacentral:rRNA from 1 species
CCAUGCAGUCGACGGGAUCCCAGGAGCUUGCUCCUGGGUGAGAGUGGCGAACGGGUGAGUAAUGCGUGACCGACCUGCCCCAUACACCGGAAUAGCUCCUGGAAACGGGUGGUAAUGCCGGAUGCUCCAGUUGAAUGCAUGGCCUUCUGGGAAAGCUUUUGCGGUAUGGGAUGGGGUCGCGUCCUAUCAGCUUGAUGGCGGGGUAACGGCCCACCAUGGCUUCGACGGGUAGCCGGCCUGAGAGGGCGACCGGCCACAUUGGGACUGAGAUACGGCCCAGACUCCUACGGGAGGCAGCAGUGGGGAAUAUUGCACAAUGGGCGCAAGCCUGAUGCAGCGACGCCGCGUGCGGGAUGACGGCCUUCGGGUUGUAAACCGCUUUUGACUGGGAGCAAGCCCUUCGGGGUGAGUGUACCUUUCGAAUAAGCACCGGCUAACUACGUGCCAGCAGCCGCGGUAAUACGUAGGGUGCAAGCGUUAUCCGGAAUUAUUGGGCGUAAAGGGCUCGUAGGCGGUUCGUCGCGUCCGGUGUGAAAGUCCAUCGCUUAACGGUGGAUCCGCGCCGGGUACGGGCGGGCUUGAGUGCGGUAGGGGAGACUGGAAUUCCCGGUGUAACGGUGGAAUGUGUAGAUAUCGGGAAGAACACCAAUGGCGAAGGCAGGUCUCUGGGCCGUCACUGACGCUGAGGAGCGAAAGCGUGGGGAGCGAACAGGAUUAGAUACCCUGGUAGUCCACGCCGUAAACGGUGGAUGCUGGAUGUGGGGACCAUUCCACGGUCUCCGUGUCGGAGCCAACGCGUUAAGCAUCCCGCCUGGGGGAGUACGGCCGCAAGGCUAAAACUCAAAGAAAUUGACGGGGGCCCGCACAAGCGGCGGAGCAUGCGGAUUAAUUCGAUGCAACGCGAAGAACCUUACCUGGGCUUGACAUGUUCCCGACAGCCGUAGAGAUACGGUCUCCCUUCGGGGCGGGUUCACAGGUGGUGCAUGGUCGUCGUCAGCUCGUGUCGUGAGAUGUUGGGUUAAGUC